rnacentral:rRNA from 1 species
AGUGGCGGACGGGUGAGUAACGCGUAAGAAUCUAACUUCAGGACGGGGACAACAGUGGGAAACGACUGCUAAUACCCGAUGUGCCGCGAGGUGAAACCUAAUUGGCCUGAAGAAGAGCUUGCGUCUGAUUAGCUAGUUGGUGGGGUAAGAGCCUACCAAGGCGACGAUCAGUAGCUGGUCUGAGAGGAUGAGCAGCCACACUGGGACUGAGACACGGCCCAGACUCCUACGGGAGGCAGCAGUGGGGAAUUUUCCGCAAUGGGCGAAAGCCUGACGGAGCAACGCCGCGUGAGGGAGGAAGGUCUUUGGAUUGUAAGCCUCUUUUCUCAAGGAAGAAGUUCUGACGGUACUUGAGGAAUCAGCCUCGGCUAACUCCGUGCCAGCAGCCGCGGUAAUACGGGGGAGGCAAGCGUUAUCCGGAAUUAUUGGGCGUAAAGCGUCCGCAGGUGGUCAGCCAAGUCUGCCGUCAAAUCAGGUUGCUUAACGACCUAAAGGCGGUGGAAACUGGCAGACUAGAGAGCAGUAGGGGUAGCAGGAAUUCCCAGUGUAGCGGUGAAAUGCGUAGAGAUUGGGAAGAACAUCGGUGGCGAAAGCGUGCUACUGGGCUGUAUCUGACACUCAGGGACGAAAGCUAGGGGAGCGAAAGGGAUUAGAUACCCCUGUAGUCCUAGCCGUAAACGAUGGAUACUGGGCGUGGCUU